rnacentral:rRNA from 1 species
GACGAACGCUGGGCGGCGUGCCUAACCACAUGCGAAGUCGAACGGAAGCAAGACUUCGGUUUUGCUUUAGUGGCGAACGGGUGAGUAACGCGUGAGAAACCUGCCUUUCAGUGGGGGACAACAGUUGGAAACGACUGCUAAUACCGCAUAAUGUUAUCGAGCGGCAUCGCUUGAUAACCAAAGCUUUAUGUGCUGAAAGAUGGUCUCGCGUCUGAUUAGCUAGUUGGUGAGGUAACGGCUCACCAAGGCGACGAUCAGUAGCCGGUCUGAGAGGAUGAACGGCCACAUUGGGACUGAGAUACGGCCCAG